rnacentral:rRNA from 1 species
AACGAACGCUGGCGGCAUGCCUAACACAUGCAAGUCGAACGAACCCUUCGGGGUUAGUGGCGCACGGGUGCGUAACGCGUGGGGAUCUGCCCAAAGGUUCGGAAUAACUCAGAGAAAUUUGAGCUAAUACCGGAUAAUGUCUUCGGACCAAAGAUUUAUUGCCUUUGGAUGAACCCGCGUAGGAUUAGCUUGUUGGUGGGGUAAAGGCCUACCAAGGCGACGAUCCUUAACUGGUCUGAGAGGAUGAUCAGCCACACUGGGACUGAGACACGGCCCAGACUCCUACGGGAGGCAGCAGUGGGGAAUAUUGGACAAUGGGCGAAAGCCUGAUCCAGCAAUGCCGCGUGAGUGAUGAAGGCCUUAGGGUUGUAAAGCUCUUUUACCAGGGAUGAUAAUGACAGUACCUGGAGAAUAAGCUCCGGCUAACUCCGUG